GAUGAACGCUGGCGGCGUGCCUAAUACAUGCAAGUCGAGCGAACAGACGAGGCGCUUGCUCCUCUCACGUUAGCGGCGGACGGGUGAGUAACACGUGGAUCACCUCCCUAUAUGUCUGGUAUAUCUUCGGGACACCGGCUCUAAUACCGUAUAAUCUCUUGAUCCGCAUGGUUCAAUAGUGAAAGACGGUUUUGCUGUCACUUCUCGCUGGAUCCGCGCCGCAUUAGCUAGUUGUUAAGGUAACGGCUUAUCAAGGCGACGAUGCGUAGCCGACCUGGUAGGGGGAUAGGCGACAUGGGAACUGAGAAAGGGUCAAGGCUCCUAAGGGAGGCAGCAGUAGGGAAUCGGCGGCAGUGGGCGAGAGCAUGACAGAGAAGGGCCACGUGAGUGAUAGAGAUCUUGGGAGCGGAAAACUCGGUUAUGAGGUGAAAACAAAUGUGUAAGGAAAUAUACACGGCUUGACGGUAACUAAUCAAGAAGCCACGGCUAACUACGUG
rnacentral:rRNA from 1 species